UACAGAGGGUGCAAGCGUUGUUCGGAAUUAUUGGGCGUAAAGGGUGCGUAGGUGGGCAGGUAAGUCAGUGGUGAAAUCUCCGAGCUUAACUCGGAAACUGCCGUUGAUACUAUUUGUCUUGAAUAUUGUGGAGGUAAGCGGAAUAUGUCAUGUAGCGGUGAAAUGCUUAGAUAUGACAUAGAACACCAAUUGCGAAGGCAGCUUACUACACAACGAUUGACGCUGAGGCACGAAAGCGUGGGGAUCAAACAGG
rnacentral:rRNA from 1 species